rnacentral:rRNA from 1 species
CGGACGGGUGAGUAAUGCCUAGGAAUCUGCCUGGUAGUGGGGGACAACGUUUCGAAAGGAACGCUAAUACCGCAUACGUCCUACGGGAGAAAGCAGGGGACCUUCGGGCCUUGCGCUAUCAGAUGAGCCUAGGUCGGAUUAGCUAGUUGGUGAGGUAAUGGCUCACCAAGGCGACGAUCCGUAACUGGUCUGAGAGGAUGAUCAGUCACACUGGAACUGAGACACGGUCCAGACUCCUAAGGGAGGCAGCAGCG